AUUGAACGCUGGCGGCAUGCCUAACACAUGCAAGUCGAACGAGUGGCGGACGGGUGAGUAAUGUCUGGGAAACUGCCUGAUGGUGGGGGAUAACUUCUGGAAACGGUAGCUAAUCCCGCAUACCAUCGUAUGUGCCCAGAGGGGAUUAGCUAGUAGGUGGGGUAACGGCUCACUUGGGCGACGAUCGUUAGCUGGUCUGAGAGGAUGACAGGCCACACGGGAACUGAGACACGGUCCAUGCUACUACGGUAGGCAGCAGUGGGGAACAUGGCACAAUGGGCGCAAGCCUGAUGCAGCCAUGCCGAGUGUAUGAAGAAGGCCGUCGGGUUGUAAAGUACUUUUAGGGGGGAGGCGGUACUCGCAGAAGAAGCACCGGCUAACUCCGUGCCAGCAGCCGCGGUAAUAC
rnacentral:rRNA from 1 species